rnacentral:rRNA from 1 species
UACGUAGGGAGCAAGCGUUGUCCGGAAUCAUUGGGCGUAAAGCGCGCGUAGGUGGCUUCGUAAGUCCGUUGUGAAAGUCAAAGGCUCAACCUUUGAAAGCCGAUGGAUACUGUGAAGCUAGAGUACGGAAGAGGCGAGUGGAAUUCCUGGUGUAGCGGUGGAAUGCGCAGAUAUCAGGAGGAACACCAAUAGCGAAGGCAGCUCUCUGGGACGUUACUGACACUGAGGCGCGAAAGCGUGGGGAGCGAACAGG